rnacentral:tRNA from 1 species
UGGCUCAGUGGUAGAGUACUUGCCUUGUAUGCAGGAGGUUCUGAGUUCAAUCCUUCAG